UGCCCGAUAGUAUAAAGGUAGUACAAAUGGUUUUGGUUCAUUUAGUUCAGGUUCGAAUCCUGGUCGGGCAACCA
rnacentral:tRNA from 1 species